rnacentral:misc_RNA from 1 species
UUUCCGUUGAAUCUCCCCAAGAAAUUCCGCCAGCCUCUCUCGGUUAACUUGGCCCAUCAUAGUGGUUUCCGGGCGCGCGGUCUUGCGGAGCUGGGCCUCGAGCUCCUCGUUGCGGGUGUUCGUGAUCUGCAUGACGCCGUAGCCGAUCACGCCUGGGACGACCCCGCACAGCGUCGCGAAGGUCAGGAAGAACGGCUUCGAAUCACGAGUCUUUCGGACUAGCCAUCGCCAUGUCGUGCUCUUCUCCCACAGGAUCGACAUAGCCGAGCUUCGAGCUCUCGAUCUCCUCUCCUCGGCGAUGAGGAAUCCUUACACCCACACCCUCAACUAGGGUUUCUG